rnacentral:rRNA from 1 species
GACGAACGCCGGCGGCGUGCUUAACACAUGCAAGUCGAACGGUGAAGGGGCCUGCUUUUGUGGGCCCUGGAUGAGUGGCGAACGGGUGAGUAACACGUGAGUAACCUGCCCCCUUCUUCUGGAUAACCGCAUGAAAGUGUGGCUAAUACGGGAUAUUCUGGGUCUGUCGCAUGAUGGGUCUGGGAAAGAUUGCGCCUUUGGGUGUUUUUGGUGGGGGAUGGGCUCGCGGCCUAUCAGCUUGUUGGUGGGGUGAUGGCCUACCAAGGCGGUGACGGGUAGCCGGCCUGAGAGGGUGGACGGUCACACUGGGACUGAGACACGGCCCAGACUCCUACGGGAGGCAGCAGUGGGGAAUAUUGCACAAUGGGCGCAAGCCUGAUGCAGCGACGCCGCGUGAGGGAGGGAGGCCUUCGGGUUGUAAACCUCUUUCGCCAGUGAAGCAGGCCUGCUCCUUGUGGGUGGGUUGACGGUAGCUGGAUAAGAAGCGCCGGCUAACUACGUG